UCCGAGUUGACCCCGGCAGUCUCCUACGAGUCCCCACCAUUACGUGCUGGCAACAUAGGACGAGGGUUGCGCUCGUUGCGGGACUUAACCCAACAUCUCGCGACACGAGCUGACGACAGCCAUGCAGCACCUGUGUCCAGGUUCCCUUUCGGGCACCCCUCCAUCUCUGGAGGGUUCCUGGCAUGUCAAGGGUAGGUAAGGUGGGGAUGACGUGUCCUUG
rnacentral:misc_RNA from 1 species